rnacentral:ncRNA from 2 species
CGGCCCCCUCCUCCAUGGGGCCGCCCCCGGGGCGGGGCGAAAGAGGGAAUCCGGUGCGAAUCCGGAGCUGUCCCGCAGCGGUCAGCUGGAACGAAAGCCGUCAGAUGGCACUGGGAGGCCACUCCCGGGAAGCGACGGCCGGUAGGAAGACCGCCCGCGUGGGGUUCUGCCGAACAGGCAGUCGUCAAGGCCCCCGCGGGUCGGCCCGCCAGCGAGCCCGAAUACCUGCCUGGUGUGCCGGAUCGAC